GACGAACGCUGGCGGCGUGCUUAACACAUGCAAGUCGAACGGAAAGGCCCUGCUUUUGUGGGGUUCUCGAGUGGCGAACGGGUGAGUAACACGUGAGUAACCUGCCCUUGACUUUGGGAUAACUUCAGGAAACUGGGGCUAAUACCGGAUAGGAGCUCCUGCUGCAUGGUGGGUGUUGGAAAGUUUCGGCGGUUGGGGAUGGACUCGCGGCUUAUCAGCUUGUUGGUGGGGUAGUGGCUUACCAAGGCUUUGACGGGUAGCCGGCCUGAGAGGGUGACCGGCCACAUUGGGACUGAGAUACGGCCCAGACUGCUACGGGAGGCAGCAGUGGGGAAUAUUGCACAAUGGGCGGAAGCCUGAUGCAGCAACGCCGCGUGCGGGAUGACGGCCUUCGGGGUGUAACCCGCUUUCGCCUGUGACGAAGCGUGAGUGACGGUAAUGGGUAAAGAAGCACCGGCUAACUACGUG
rnacentral:rRNA from 1 species